GGAUGCGAUCAUGCCAGCACUAAAGCACCGGAUCCCAUCAGAACUCCAAAGUUAAGCGUGCUUGGGCGAGCGUAGUACUAGGAUGGGUGACCUCCUGGGAAGUCCUCGUGUUGCAUUCC
rnacentral:rRNA from 1 species